CGGAUCAGUCGUGAUUACCCGCUGAACUUAAGCAUAUCACUAAGCGGAGGAAAAGAAACUAACCAGGAUUCCCCUAGUAACGGCGAGUGAAGAGGGAAUAGCCCAGCACCGAAGCCUGCGGUAGUUUUACUGCUAGGCAAUGUGGUGUUUGGGUCGGCUCGCGGGAUUGCCACUCCACUCGAAGUCCAGCACUGAGUAUGGUUCCCUGGAUUUGGCCCAGAGAGGGUGAAAGGCCCGUGCGAGUGGAGGUUCAGACAUGUGAGGCAAUUCACCAGGCCGACCUUCGAGUCGGGUUGUUUGGGAAUGCAGCCCAAAGCGGGUGGUAAACUCCAUCCAAGGCUAAAUACAAGCACGAGUCCGAUAGCGAACAAGUACCGUGAGGGAAAGUUGAAAAGUACUUUGAAGAGAGAGUAAACAGUACGUGAAACCGCAUAGAGGUAAACGGGUGGCGUCAAGCUGCAAGCCUAGAGGAUUCAGUUGGUCGGUGUGUAUGCGCGCCUGGCGCGUCUGUCGGACGGAUAGUCCACUGCGAAAAGGUGGGCCUGGCCUUCUUUCGGGAGGGUUAGGAUCGGUGUCCCGGGAGGUUGCCGGAGCCGGCUG
rnacentral:rRNA from 2 species